GCCAGGCGUGGUGGCACGUGCCUGCAGUCCCAGCUAUUCUGGAGGCUGAGGCAGGAGGACCACUUGAGCCCAGGAGCUCUGUGCUGUAGUUCAUUAUGUGGAUUGGGUGUCCGAACUAAGUUCAGCAUCAAUAUGGUGACCUCCCAGGAGCAGGGGACCACCAGGUUGCCUAAGGAGGGGUGAACCAACCCAGCUGGAAACAUAGCAGGCAAUAAAUAUUCAGUGAAUGAAUGUUGAACCAAUCUUACACUAUUCUCUCAAUUUAGGGUAUGCUGUACUUCAGCAUUU
ensembl:misc_RNA Metazoa_SRP Metazoan signal recognition particle RNA